UACGUAGGGUGCAAGCGUUGUCCGGAAUUAUUGGGCGUAAAGAGCUCGUAGGCGGUCUGUUGCGUCGGCUGUGAAAACCCGAGGCUCAACCUCGGGCCUGCAGCCGAUACGGGCAGACUAGAGUUCGGCAGGGGAGACUGGAAUUCCUGGUGUAGCGGUGAAAUGCGUAGAUAUCGGGAGGAACACCAGUGGCGAAGGCGAUCACCUGGGGUUGUUCUGACGCUGAGGAGCGAAAGCUAGGGGAGCAAACGGG
rnacentral:rRNA from 1 species